GGUUGAUUAUGGCUCAGAUUGAACGCUGGCGGGAUGCUUUACACAUGCAAGUCGAACGGCAGCACGGACUUCGGUCUGGUGGCGAGUGGCGAACGGGUAGGUAAUGUAUCGGAACGUGCCUGGCGGGGAUAACUACGCGAAAGCGUAGCUAAUACCGCAUACGCCCUUCGGGGGAAAGCGAGACCUUCGGGCCUCGCACUAAUGCGGCAGCCGACCUCCGGAUUAGCUAGUUGGUGGGGUAACGGCUCACCAAGGCGACGGUCAUGCGCUGGUUUGAGGGGACGACCCAACCACAUGCGGGACUGAGACACAGUACAGACCCUGCAGGAGGCAGCAGUGGGGAAUUUUGGACAAUGGAAACCUGAUCCAGCCAUCCCGCGUGUGCGAUGAAGGCCUUCGGGUUGUAAAGCACUUUUGGCAGGAAAGAAACGGCACGGGAUAAUACCCCGUGCAACUGACUGACUGCCAUACAGAAUAAGCACCGGCUAACUACGUGCCAGCAGCCGUUAUCGUAGGGUGCAAGCGUUAAUCGGAAUUACUGGGCGUAAAGCGUGCGCAGGCGGUUCCGGAAAGAAGAUGUGAAAUCGAGCUUAACUUUGGAACUGCAUUUUUAACUACCGAGCUAGAGUGUGUCAGAGGGAGGUGGAAUUCCGCGUGUAGCAGUGAAAUGCGUAGAUAUGCGGAGGAACACCGAUAGCGAAGGCAGCCUCACGGGGAUAACACUGACGCUCAUGCACGAAAGCGAGGCAAACAGGAUUAGAUACCCUGGUAGUCCACGCCUAAACGAUGUCAACUAGCUGUUGGGGCCUUCGGGCCUUGGUAUGCGACUAACGCGUGAAGUUGACCGCCUGGGGAAAUUACGGUCGCAAGAUUAAAACUCAAAGGAAUUGACAGGGACCCGCACAAGCCAGUGGAUGAUGUGGAUUAAUUCGAUGCAACGCGAAAAACCUUACCUACCCUUGACAUGUCUGGAAUCCGAAGAGAUUUGGGAGUGCUCGCAAGAGAACCGGAACACAGGUGCUGCAUGGCUGUCGUCAGCUCGUGUCGUGAGAUGUUGGGUUAAGUCCGCAACAGGCGCAACCCUUGUCAUUAGUUGCUACGAAGGGCACUCUAAUGAGACUGCCGGUGACAAACCGGAGGAAGGUGAGGAUGACGUCAAGUCCUCCUUGGCCCUUAUGGGUAGGGCUUCACACGUCAUACAAUGGUCGGGACAGAGGGUCGCCAACCCGCGAGGAGGUAUCCGGGGAAACCCGAUCGUAGUCGGAUCGCAGUCUGCAACUCGACUGCGUGAAGUCAGAAUCGCUGUCGGAUGUGUCGCGGUGAAUGCGUUCCCGGGUCUUGUACACACGCCGUCACCAUGGGAGUGGGUUUUACCAGAAGUAGUUAGCCCUAACCGUAGGAGGGCGAUUACCACGGUAGGAUUCAUGACUGGGGUGAAGUCGUAACAAGGUAG
rnacentral:rRNA from 1 species